AUUGAACGCUGGCGGCAGGCCUAACACAUGCAAGUCGAGCGGAUGAAGGUAGCUUGCUACCUGAUUCAGCGGCGGACGGGUGAGUAAUGCCUAGGAAUCUGCCUGGUAGUGGGGGACAACGUUUCGAACGGAACGCUAAUACCGCAUACGUCCUACGGGAGAAAGUGGGGGAUCUUCGGACCUCACGCUAUCACAUGAGCCUGGGUACGAGUAGCUAGUUGGGGAGGUAAAGGCUCACCAAGGCGACGAUCGUUAACUGGUCUGAGAGGAUGAUGGGUCACACUGGAACUGAGACACGGUCCAGACUCCUACGGGAGGCAGCAGUGGGGAAUAUUGGACAAUGGGCGAAAGCCUGAUCCAGCCAUGCCGCGUGUGUGAAGAAGGUCUUCGGAUUGUAAAGCACUUUAAGUUGGGAGGAAGGGCAGUAAGUUAAUACCUUGCUGUUUUGACGUUACCGACAGAAUAAGCACCGGCUAACUUCGUGCCAGCCGCCGCAGUAA
rnacentral:rRNA from 1 species